AUGAGGAUGAGGAGGAGGCACAGCAGGAUGGGGAUGGGGAUGAAGAGGAGGCACAGCAGGAUGGGGAUGGGGAUGAAGAGGAGGCACAGCAGGAUGGGGAUGAAGAGGAAGAGGAGGAGAAGGCACAGCAGGAUGGGGAUGAGGAAGAGGAGGCACAGCAGGAUGAGGAUGAAGAGCAGGCACAGCAGGAUGGGGAUGAGGAAGAGGAGGCACAGCAGGAUGAGGAUGAAGAGCAGGCACAGCAGGAUUGCAGAGGAGCCGGGGCAGGAAGGGAAGGAGCAGCAGCUCAGGGUGAAGGGUUUUGCCACUCGAGGGCAAGAGCCGGGCAGGGAACGGGGCCUUGGCUCCUGCAGGGAGUCAGGAACGGCUCCUGAGGGAACUGGGAACGCUUUCCGAUGGAAUCCAGGCUGGUUUCCGCAGGGAAACGGGAACAGUGGCUGCAGAGAAGCCGUUUGGUCGCGAUCCCACAUCCUCACCCAUCACCUCUGCCAGGCCCAGGAACAGCCCCAUCCCUUCUCCAGCCCUUCUCUCGCUGCAGGAAUCCAGGGAUUCUCCCUGGGGGAAUCCAGGGAUUCUCCCUGCAGGAAUCCAAGGAUUCUCCCUGGGGGAAUCCAGGGAUUCUCCCUGGGGGAAUCCAGGGAUUCUCUCUGGGGGAAUCCAGGGAUUCUCCCUGCAGGAAUCCAGGGAUUUUCCCUGGAGGGAUCCAGGGAUUCUCCCUGGCUCUGCUCUGCUCCCACUCCAUUCUCUCACUCCCGGCCAUUCCCAGCACUGGGAGCAGGAGGGGAGAGCAGCCCCCAGUGCUCCCAGUGCUCCCAGUGCUCCCAGNNNNNNNNNNNNNNNNNNNNCUCCCUGCAGGAAUCCAGGGAUUCUCUCUGGGGGAAUCCAGGGAUUCUCUCUGCGGGAAUCCAGGGAUUCUCUCUGCAGGAAUCCAGGGAUUCUCCCUGGGGGAAUCCAGGGAUUCUCUCUGCGGGAAUCCAGGGAUUCUCUCUGGGGGAAUCCAGGGAUUCUCCCUGCGGGAAUCCAGGGAUUCUCUCUGGGGGAAUCCAGGGAUUCUCCCUGCGGGAAUCCAGGGAUUCUCCCUGCAGGAAUCCAGGGAUUCUCCCUGCAGGAAUCCAGGGAUUCUCUCUGGGGGAAUCCAGGGAUUCUCCCUGCAGGAAUCCAGGGAUUCUCCCUGCAGGAAUCCAGGGAUUCUCCCUGCAGGGAUCCAGGGAUUCUCUCUGCAGGAAUCCAGGGAUUCUCCCUGGGGGAAUCCAGGGAUUCUCCCUGCAGGGAUCCAGGGAUUCUCUCUGGGGGAAUCCAGGGAUUCUCUCUGCGGGAAUCCAGGGAUUCUCCCUGCAGGAAUCCAGGGAUUCUCCCUGGGGGAAUCCAGGGAUUCUCUCUGCGGGAAUCCAGGGAUUCUCCCUGCGGGAAUCCAGGGAUUCUCUCUGGGGGAAUCCAGGGAUUCUCCCUGGCUCUGCUCUGCUCCCACUCCAGCCUCUCACUCCCGGCCAUUCCCAGCUCUGGGAGCAGGAGGGGAGAGCAGCCCCCAGUGCUCCCAGUGCUCCCAGUGCUCCCAGUUCCAGCAGCAGCUCCUCCCGGUGUCCAGCAGCGUUUUGGGGUCCCCAGGGGGGGAAGGAGCAGGUGGGGAUCCAGGCUUUUCUCCCCAGCAUUCCCGAGGAUUUAAAGGAAUUCCCGUGGUUUGGGGAAUUCCCAAAGCUCCCCUCAAAUCCAUUGUUUUUCCCUCAUUUUUUCCUGGAUGAAUCCUUGAAUCUUUUCCCUCCCCGAGCGCCCCAGGCCCUUCCUGUGAGCAGAACCCCGACACUCGCACCAGCAGCACUUCUGGGACACCAGUUACUGCAAACUGGGACAAACUGGGACACCAGUUACACUGACUGGGACAAACUGGGACACCAGUUAGACACUGACUGGGACACCAGUUACACUGACUGGGACACCAGUUACUGCAAACUGGGACACCAGUUACACUGCAAACUGGGACACCAGUUACACUGCAAACUGGGACACCAGUUACACUGCAAACUGGGACAAACUGGGACACCAGUUACACUGACUGGGACACCAGUUACACUGACUGGGACAAACUGGGACACCAGUUACAUACUGGGACACCAGUUACUGCAAACUGGGACACCAGUUACUGCAAACUGGGACACCAGUUACACACUGGGAGACCAGUUAGACACUCACUGGGACACCAGUUAG
rnacentral:lncRNA from 1 species